GACGUAGGGCGCGAGCGUUGUCCGGAUUUAUUGGGCGUAAAGAGCUCGUAGGCGGCUUGUCGCGUCGACUGUGAAAACCCGCGGCUCAACUGCGGGCUUGCAGUCGAUACGGGCAGGCUAGAGUUCGGUAGGGGAGACUGGAAUUCCUGGUGUAGUGGUGGAAUGCGUAGAUAUCGGGAGGAACACCAGUGGCGAAGGCGGCUCGCUGGGCCGUUGCUGACGCAGAGGCGCGAAAGCGUGGGGAGCAAACAGG
rnacentral:rRNA from 1 species